rnacentral:lncRNA from 1 species
AAAAAAGACUUGAGACUGUUAAACACAUUUUACAUAAAACAAAAUCGUUGUAUAUACUGAACUUUCUAAAGAUACCUCUUUUUUUUAUGUUAUUAACUUACUUGCAAUGUUUUUACUCUUCUAAAUGAAUCUCUAAGUGUUAGUGUCUACCUUUUGACAAAUGGGAGAACUGAAAGGACACAACGUGACACUAAGCUUACAAGACAGAAAAAAAACAAGCAGAGAUACUUCUCAAAGACAGCCCUUUUGAAGCUGAAGACCCCAAACAUACGAGGUUAUAAAGCCUGUUAUCUUCUGUACACCAUUGAAUGUUUGGCCUUUUAUCACAUAGUCUUUUCAGACAUUGAAGAUUUUCAUCCAUAUAUGCAACGAAACAAGAACAACUUCCAGAAAAAAAAAGAUAAAUUUCAUUUGUGCAGCCUUUUACUCAGACAUGAAAGCCAUGUCUGAAAAAAGCCACCUGCUUCUUUAUUGUUUGAUAUCAGAGGCAGAAUAAUGUCUGAUUUUAAUAUCGUACUUCACUAAUUUGUCCUGUGACAUCAAUGAAUCAAAGUAGAGUUCCUGACAGAAGAACAUCAAGAGGAAAUUAAUCUCUCUGUGAUAGUAUUAAUAAUUUCAGAAUGCCCAUGUUUUGCUCAAUUAUUGUAACCAUUGAAAGCUGUGUUUUUGGGGACUGUUAGAUCAAUAUCACAAUUGCUACACAAAUCGAGUGUGUAAGAGUGGUACUCUUUGGUGGCCAGUCAGGAGUGUCAUUACUGAUAGGAAAGAAGUUUGCUAAGCCUUCUUGGGAGAAUUUUGUGACAACUUAAGGAAAGGAGACAUGAAAUUGGUGGGGAAGGGGGGAAACUGGGUGAAAAAAGUCACUUUUCAAAAUAUCAGAGAAGAUGGUAGGCCUGUGAUUCAAGGUGGAAUCAGCAGAGUGUAACACAUAACGAACUGUGUGAUACUGGAAAAAAUGAGUAUGUAUUAUGCCUGUUGUAGCUACACAGUAUGAUACUCACUGACUGACUAGGACUGUAUUUAGGGUUCCAGUUCUGUGCUGAGAAUGGAACUAAAUGAACACACAGGUCCAAAUGUGUCACUGAAAUAAAUAUUGGCAGUAUGGAUGUGUGAUCA